AUUAAUUUGGUUUAUGGCAUAGAAAAACUUUGAAAAAAAAUGUUCGUAAAAUUUUUGUUUUGACUAAAAUAAUACCAUAGACAGGCCCAAAUCCAGAAUGGGGUUCAAUACAAUCACACUCCACUUUUAACAGUAACAAUUCAAACAGAACGUCAACAUUACAAACAGUGCUUAUUUAUUUUCAAAGGGGUCGUACGAACCCUUCGAGUCCCCAGGCUACGGGUGUGAUCGAUCUCCCUGAAAGUUUAAUUGUUGAUCCCUUUUAUGUGAAUUUCGUUUCAGAAAUUUUGCAGGAUUUUUUUUCUAUCUUGAUUUGUAAU
rnacentral:lncRNA from 1 species